CCUGAUUGCUAGAUUCUUGUGACUGCAUUUUGGAAUAACCUCUCUUCAACUUUGGUGAACUCCCUUGAUUACCUGUUUAUGACUUGGAUUGGCUCAAUUCACCAGUAACAGAUUCCGCAGUUAUAGCCUGCCUCUUCUGGUACUUGCUGCUUUUAGGAUCGAGACACUAACUGUCAAUAGUUCAGCAUAGAGACAGCAAAUUGAGCAGGCAUAUGGACCACAUGAUUAUGGUGAGAAGUACUGAAUUUCUUUAGAAAUUUGAGCAUUUCAUUUCUAAAUGAGGAUCUAUGUACAUAAACUAGUACAUGCAAAUAGACAUUUUCUUCUCCUUUCUCCUUUGGGGUUGCAGUUUCUCUUCUCUCUCUUUCUCUUUUUGCCACACUAUUUUCCAUUACUGGAAACAACAAGCCCCUUUUUGUGUUCUUAAAUUGCAUUCAUAAUUGAGUAAAAAGGGACACUUGUGAUCUAAACUGCUCAAUUUCAUUCCAUCAUUUGUCUAACUUUAAGAAGAUUUCUGUCUGAUAAAUUUGUAGAACAAGGUAUACAUUUCUUUGUACUUCUGUCCCUGCAUCACUGAAGAAACAAUGUAACAACAUAUUGUGUGUUAAGGUGAUAGCUUGUAGUGCUGCUUAUCGGUUUGAAUCUAUGCUUGUACCUCACAUUUAUUGUUAUGAUUUAUAUAAUCUAUUUAUAAUUCUCUCUCUCUCUGUCUCUGUCUCUCUCUCUCUCUCAUGGAUAUACAUUAAAUUCUUGGUGCAAGCAGUCUCCAAUGUUGAUUGCAAUUAUUUCACACAAUUGUUAUGUUUAUAAUUUGAAUGCAAAUUUCCUGCUUCUUGGCAGGGGGGUUGGACUGGAUGGCCCACGAGGUUUCUUCCAACUCUAUAAUUCUAUAAUUCUAUAAUUGCUGUUGCCAAAUCACCAUCUCAUGAUCAAACAUCCCUGCACUCAGCUAGGUUGGUAGAUGGAGAACAGACACACAAUGUAUGAGGGUUGAAUGAAAAGUAAUGCCUCCACCUUCAUAACUCCUUAACAGAUGGCAGUACUGGUAUGUGGCAGGUCCUGGCUUGUUCAGUAGAUUAUCCUCUACAGUUCCAUUUGGCAGGAAGCCUUAGCAUUGAACGGUUGUGUUGUUAAAGUGCGAAGUAUGGAACCCUGCGCAGACAGUCAGUCAAUGUGACUUGAGCAAUGUGCAGUCAUUGAAUUCUUGACAGCAGAAGGUGUUACUCCAAAGGAGAAAGGCAUCACCUUCAUUCUCAUAAUGCAAGAGGAGCUUCUGGAAAAUUUCAGGUCGAUGUACUUUCAUUUCAGGCGUCAACAUCCUGGGUACCCAUCGUGCACAGAUCUUCUGCUAGCCAAGCAAAGCAAUGAUGUGACUCACACAUUAUUGUGAAAUGCCGAUUAUGCUUGAAAUUUAUCUCUGAGUGAUACAACGAUCGUCCUGAAUCAAUCUGUCAACCUUUUGCAUGUGAAACUCGGUGGUCCAGUUCUUUGUUUGUCACGCAAGUCAGAUGUUUCCACCUCAACAUCUUUAAACUUACUCACCCAACGAUGCACAGUACUCACAUCAACACAAUCACCAUAAACAGCUUGUAUUCUCUGAUGAAUCUCCUUUGGGGUGACACCUUCUGCUGUCAAGAAUUCAAUGACUGAAUGUUGCUUAAGUUGCAUUGACCAACCGUCUGUGCAGGGUUCCAUACUUUGCACUUUAACAACACAACCAUUUAAUGUUUAGGCUUCCCACCAAAUGGAACUGUAGAGGAGAGUCUACUGAACAAGCCAGUAGCUGCCUAUACCAGCACUGCUAUCUGUUGAGGAGUUAUGAAGGUGGAGGCAUUACUUUUCAUUCAACCCUCGUAUAUGGUGGGUCAAACUAAACCUUAUCAGUCAAUUUGCUCGCUCUUGGAAAAAGAAAAAGUUGCUAUCCUGAGCUGGAAUUACAGCAGAGCCACUACCUAGAAAAGUGAAAUUUGUAAUAAUCUUCAGAAGACUAUACAAGAAGCAACUAAACCUGAAGAAGGGACACCCAUCCUGAAACAAGGACAUAGAAUACCCCGGGAACCCUUGUUGUUUUUUGCUGUUGCUUUCUUUGAAUGUACAUUCUGAAGACUCUUUCUUGCUUGGGACUUUGAUAAUUUGUUUAAAGGGUACAACCCUCAUUCAUAAAGAUCAUCAAUUGAGAUGCUUUUUCUACCAAGCUUCAAGACAACACUGAAUACUGAGUUUUAACCUCAGUUUAUGAACUCCUUUAUUUUGGCAAUAUAUAAACAUGAAUGCUAUGUUUGCUAUAAUGCUGUGAAAUAGUUUAUAUAAUGCUGUAAAAUAGUUUAUAUAUGUGCCUUGGUGAUUAUACGUUUGCUACUUCGUUUCUAUUAUAUACUGUGUGUAACAGGACAACCUUUCUCUUCAAACUAAACCUUACCAACUUGUUAGAAUCUGCCACAGCAUAUAGUUUAGUGGGUCAGUAGAACAUGUUUAAAGACUUUGUAAAACUACACCUCCCAUGAUUCAACAUUAUCGAGACAGCCAAGUUAGUGUCAAAAUGCAUUAAUUCUGCAAUAUAGAUGCAUCCUAAAUUUUCAGAUGUAUGCCAUCCUGAUGGUUCCACACUACUAUUCUUGCAGAGACAAAAAGAUGAUACUUACCUUUUUGGCAAAUAUUUGACUAUGACUAUGACAACAAAGUUGCAGACACUCCUUUUCAUAAUCCCACACCAUCAAUUCCAAUUUUAUAUCCAGUCACAAAUUCUGGCUCAUGUGCUGUAGAAUCUGUUGCCAAACUCUUAACUGAAGCCCUUUGUUGGCUUAGGUGUGGGAUUCAAAUGGUUCCUCUGGCAGCACUGUUUGGAAGAACUUUCUCUUCAGGAUUUUACAUUCCACAGCUAUGCUAUAAAUGUCUGUUCCUUCUAAUUUCUCAGUGAAUGUAUAGCAAUUAUAAAACCACACAAAUUAUUGUCUAACUGUUCUGACAAACUGCCAGCAUAUGAGAACGUGCCGGAAACUCCCACAGUUAGAAAUGGAGGUUUAGGUUAUUCAACCAUCCAUCAAUUUAAAAUUAAACAAAAGAACUGAUAUAACAGCCAGACAGGCCUUGCAAUAAUAUUUUCUGGAGUCAGUUGAAUCUAACUAUGUAAAUAUGAAACCGAAAGUGUAUGGGUCUAAUCCUGUGGUUUCUUUUGUUACACAAUAAUAAUUAAAAUAGAGCUGAAGUGUUGGAGUGA